GGCUUUGGAAGGAGUGGUCCCUGAUCAAGUCACUUUCAUUAGUACUUUAUCUGCAUGUAGUCAUGCUGGUCUCACUGACCAGGGUUUAGAAUUAUUCCAACGCAUGACUCAGGUAUAUGGAAUGGAAUUAUUGGCCGAGCAUUAUGCUUGCAUUGUUGAUUUGCUUGGGCGGGCGGGAAGGUUAGAUGAGGCUUUUGAGAUAGUGAAGGGAAUGAAAAUUAAAGCAAAUGCUGGUGUAUGGGGUGCAUUGCUAGCUG
rnacentral:misc_RNA from 1 species